rnacentral:lncRNA from 1 species
CCGCCGUAGAAUCUACCACGUCAAACUGGAGCACACUCACCACUAUGCGAAAUCCACCAACACAAUGGUUGAGCAACACUCUUCUCUCAUAAGGAAUCCACCUAGGAGAUAGGAGCAAGAAGAAAUCCUUCUUCUCAAAUAAAAGUAGAAACUUCAACUCAACUUGACUUGCUUUCAUUAUAAAAUUAUUAUAUAUUUAUAUACUUACAAAAGACCUUUCAACUUCCUUACGCAUUAACUAACUCAUAAUUUUUAUAGAAAAACUAAAAGACACUUCUAGAACUACUAAAAGACACACGCUAUUCUAAACUACCAUAACUCAUUUUUAAGAAAACAAAAA